rnacentral:rRNA from 1 species
GCAGUCGAACGAUGAACCACUUCGGUGGGGAUUAGUGGCGAACGGGUGAGUAACACGUGGGCAAUCUGCCCUGCACUCUGGGACAAGCCCUGGAAACGGGGUCUAAUACCGGAUACUGACCCGCUUGGGCAUCCAAGCGGUUCGAAAGCUCCGGCGGUGCAGGAUGAGCCCGCGGCCUAUCAGCUUGUUGGUGAGGUAAUGGCUCACCAAGGCGACGACGGGUAGCCGGCCUGAGAGGGCGACCGGCCACACUGGGACUGAGACACGGCCCAGACUCCUACGGGAGGCAGCAGUGGGGAAUAUUGCACAAUGGGCGAAAGCCUGAUGCAGCGACGCCGCGUGAGGGAUGACGGCCUUCGGGUUGUAAACCUCUUUCAGCAGGGAAGAAGCGAAAGUGACGGUACCUGCAGAAGAAGCGCCGGCUAACUACGUGCCAGCAGCCGCGGUAAUACGUAGGGCGCGAGCGUUGUCCGGAAUUAUUGGGCGUAAAGAGCUCGUAGGCGGCUUGUCACGUCGGUUGUGAAAGCCCGGGGCUUAACCCCGGGUCUGCAGUCGAUACGGGCAGGCUAGAGUUCGGUAGGGGAGAUCGGAAUUCCUGGUGUAGCGGUGAAAUGCGCAGAUAUCAGGAGGAACACCGGUGGCGAAGGCGGAUCUCUGGGCCGAUACUGACGCUGAGGAGCGAAAGCGUGGGGAGCGAACAGGAUUAGAUACCCUGGUAGUCCACGCCGUAAACGGUGGGCACUAGGUGUGGGCGACAUUCCACGUCGUCCGUGCCGCAGCUAACGCAUUAAGUGCCCCGCCUGGGGAGUACGGCCGCAAGGCUAAAACUCAAAGGAAUUGACG